CCGGGCGGAAGUGCGUGUGCUCUUCGGUUUCGGCCUGGGGGUUAGACGUCCGUGGAGAUGCCACCUCUCGUGUCCGAGGGUAGGUGCCCCCUGGGCUCCGGCUGGUCGCCGGCCCCCGGCCCAGAGCGCUACGCGGGCCCUUUGCUGCCAUCAGCGCCAGCCUGCGGCUUCGGGCCCCGCCCCGGGAUGGGAACGAAGCUCCGCCGAGGACGGGAGGCCCCUCCCCGGGGCCCGGGACUUCAGGGACCGCUCCCCGCAUAGCAGCUGGGGCUUGGACGGAGGAGGCCGAGGGAGCUUGGUCCCACGCAGGCACCAAAGUUGAGGGUGUGCUCGGAAAAUGAGAACGCGCCAGCCGCGGGCGACUGAGGGAAGGCAUGCAGCGAUUGUUUCCUCCUGCUCCUCGUGGAUGAGAACUUACCGAGUGACCUCAACUUGGGCGGAUCCAGGCGAGCUUACUGGAGGAUUUGUGUGUGCUGGAGGAAAACCUGCUGCCUUCAUUUCUGCCUGAUUCUCUGUGCCUGAAAUGUCAUUGUUUUGUUUUCGGACCUUCCAGGUUUGAUUGGUCUAAUCCUUAACCAUGUCAUUUUUGAAUGCAGACCCAUUUAAGACCCUGUUUGGAAUGAGUAUAAAUAAAAGGAGUCAGACGCCAA